rnacentral:rRNA from 1 species
AAUGACUUAACGAGGAUCAAUUGGAGGGCAAGUCUGGUGCCAGCAGCCGCGGUAAUUCCAGCUCCAAUAGCGUAUAUUAAAGUUGUUGCAGUUAAAAAAGUUCGUAGUUGGAUUUGAGAAAAGAAGAUUAGCUGGGGAGUAGGAGACUGUAAAAGGUUGAUUGCUUUCCAUUCUUUUCUAGUUUGAAAAAAACUAAUCAAAAUAGAGGUUUACUCCUUUGUUUUGAUCUUUUACUUUGAGGAAAUUAGAGUGUUCAAAGCAGGCAACAUUUAGUUUUGCCACUUUUUUUUUGAAUAUUGCAGCAUGGUAUAAUAAAAUAAGAUUGAUUAAAUUAAAUUUGUUGAAUCAAGUGUGGGAUGCUUUAAACGGUGUUUCACAUGAAUUUCAAAUUUAAUCAAUAAUGAUAAAUAGAGAUAGUUGGGGG